UACGUAGGUGGCAAGCGUUGUCCGGAUUUACUGGGCGUAAAGGAUGCGUAGGCGGACAUUUAAGUCAGAUGUGAAAUACCCGAGCUUAACUUGGGUGCUGCAUUUGAAACUGGGUGUCUAGAGUGCAGGAGAGGUAAGUGGAAUUCCUAGUGUAGCGGUGAAAUGCGCAGAUAUCAGGAAGAACACCCGUGGCGAAGGCGGCUCUCUGGGACGGUACUGACGCUGAGACGCGAAAGCGUGGGGAGCGAACAGG
rnacentral:rRNA from 1 species